UGGACAACGCCCCGUCGACAUCAGGCAUCCUGCAAGCCUCCCCUGAGAUGUGAAAAGCAUGAAGGACGCAAUACGCGGGAGAUGAAAUAUUUCGGCAGUUACAAGCCCACAGCUCCAGAUCCUAAGUCCAGAUGUUUCAGAAGACAAAGACCAAGCUUCAGGAAAAGGAAGCCACCAAGAGGCUGUGGGGACAGGCGGGGUGAAAGUGCUUGCAGUUCCUUAUACUGCAUCUAAACGGACAGCUGCAGAGUAAAACGCUGGGUACCUGGUAUGUUGGGACGUUGAUGGCUUUCCAAGGCUGCGAAGUGAGUGAACACGAGAGUCUGCUGUGAUCUUGCAGAACUUAUUCAGAAUCCAGAACAAACACUUUAUUUUGUUUUCCUUCCAUCGUCUGCUUUCUUCCAAAAUUCCGUUGCAGAAUGAACUUUUUAAGAGCCAAGGAUAAUGGUGAAUAUACCAUGGUGAACACACUUGAAUAUUUAACUUGUCACCUAGUAUAGAUUCCUAUCCCCAUCUAAUAUCUAAUACAAUGUCCGUUAAAAUUGCUGGAUUUUGAAUCUUAUCUCCUGAUAAUCAGGCAAGUCUUCAUCAUCUUGAGUCGAAGAUAACCCCACCAAGUGCAGACCGA